GACGAACGCUGGCGGCGUGCUUAACACAUGCAAGUCGAACGGUGAAGCGCUUUCCUUUUAGGUUGGUGUGGAUGAGUGGCGAACGGGUGAGUAACACGUGAGUAACCUGCCCCCUUCUUCUGGAUAACCGCAUGAAAGUGUGGCUAAUACGGGAUAUUCUGCGCCUGCUGCAUGGUGGGUGUGGGAAAGAUUGUGCCUUUGGGUGUUUUCGGUGGGGGAUGGGCUCGCGGCCUAUCAGCUUGUUGGUGGGGUGAUGGCCUACCAAGGCGGUGACGGGUAGCCGGCCUGAGAGGGUGGACGGUCACACUGGGACUGAGACACGGCCCAGACUCCUACGGGAGGCAGCAGUGGGGAAUAUUGCACAAUGGGCGCAAGCCUGAUGCAGCGACGCCGCGUGAGGGAUGGAGGCCUUCGGGUUGUGAACCUCUUUCGCCAGUGAAGCAGGCCUGCUCCUUGUGGGUGGGUUGACGGUAGCUGGAUAAGAAGCGCCGGCUAACUACGUG
rnacentral:rRNA from 1 species